rnacentral:misc_RNA from 1 species
GCCCCUCCAAAUCUAAAAGAGUAAUCCAAACCAGAACUUGGAUAUAUAUACAAAGGCUCUCUCUCCAGGGCCUCAAUGAUCGAUAAUUAUCAUAGCUCAACUUUCAUCUGAGCUCCAGGCAUAUUUGAAUCUGCAUGAAAGGCCUGCGGCUGCUGCAGCUGAUUCUGUCCAAAUCCCAUCUGCACAACACUCUGGAGAUCAUCUUCCCAGAAUGUCGAAACCUGACGUGGUGCAUCU